rnacentral:rRNA from 1 species
UACGUAGGUGGCAAGCGUUGUUCGGAAUCAUUGGGCGUAAAGGGCAUGUAGGCUGUUAUGUAAGUGUGGAUUUAAAGGCGUAGGCUUAACCUAUCGCAUGGUCUGCAAACUACAUGACUAGAGUACAGAAGGGGAAACUGGAAUUCCACGUGUAGGGGUGAAAUCUGUAGAGAUGUGGAAGAAUACCUGUGGCGAAGGCGAGUUUCUGGUCUGUUACUGACGCUGAAAUGCGAAAGUGCGGGGAGCAAACAGG